GUCUGCAGCCACUCCACAGUAAAUGCCACCUUCCUGUUGUGGCACAAUUAAGACUGUGACUUCACAGUGGAGAGAUGUUGGGGUGGUGAUAACCUGUGUGUCUGGAAAAUACAGGAAUUUGUGGUCUGGACUGAUCACCAAUGCCUGCCUCCUCGAUUAGGAUGUACUGCUGGACCCUGGUGCAACCAGCUUUGUAGACAGUGAGGGUAAGAGAGCAGUGAAUUAGGGCAGGAAAGGAGAAUACAGAGUGACUUUCACCUCAGUGACCCAAGUUUUAUGCACUGGCUAGGAGGAACUGUGAAGAAAACUGCCCAUCUGUCAUAUCAGAAUAUUUCAGUGGGGAUAAAUGGCAGAGAAAAGCAGGGAGAUUAAGCUGAGUCCACAGGAACUUCACCCAAAUGGUAGCCUUAGGAUUUAGUCCAGCAGUGCUAUCACUCCAGAUUCAGUGAAGUCAAGGUGCUGUAAGUAUCCCAGGGCUUUUGAACUUACUCCUGCUCUCUGUUCUUGUACUAAAAAAAAACCCUCCUAUGAAAUUUGUGCUUCCAGGGUCUGAAAAGCCUGUUUCAGAGAAGGCAAACCUCACUGAUGUUUUGCAGAGCUGAAGAGGGUUUUUUUCUUAACACCACCCUGGCAUCAUGUUUUCCUGUAGCAUCAAUCGAAGAACAUAUUUGUUGCAAGGAUAGUGCCAACAUCUUUUAUGCAAAGUUUCAUAGUAGGGUAAAAAUAAAUAGUAAUUCAGAAGGUG